rnacentral:lncRNA from 1 species
CGUAACAAAUAUGGAACGAUGUAAUGAUAAUGGAGGCCUAUUACAGAAACUUAAUGCUGUUAAUAAAGAGUGCAAAAUAGAAAUAUGUGUACCCUAUGGUACUAUCAUACUAUCCUUAUAAUUGUUAUAUCAUUACUAAGCUGUGUCCUGAAUCGUGUGAAUGACAUAUCUUCAGAAUGAAUAUAAGAACAACAUAUACCGUGCAAUAUUACAUUGUAUAUUUGGAUAUUACUGGUAACAAUGACAGGUGUCACGCCAUGUAUAUUUCCUGCUAUUGUGAGGAGAGACGCUGCUUUGACUUCUGUGACAACACCCAUACCUUGUUCAUGCAAAUGAUCUCAAGGUAUGAUGUCUUAGAAAGCUUCAGAACAGCUCCGUGUCUAAAACAAACAUUCGGAUCAUCAUCAAAACUCUUCACCUUACUCAUCGGAAAUUAGGAAGGAGUGGCGAAAUUCCUUCAGAAAGAAAUAUGACUGAAACUUUUGAAAGUUGUUCUCUAUUCGUGUUCUUUCAUAAAUGUCGUAGUUUUGCAACGUGGUGAACAAGAAUGACUAUCAAGUGUUGUGCCUCCGAGAUUUAUGAACAAUGUCAGUGAUGAUAUUCUUUCAUUACUUACAAAUGUGCCGAUUGUUACAGUUGGAGAUAAAAACGCAUUCAUCCGAAGUAAGACAUGCCCCAGUGUGUCCCAUGGCAUUUGUAUAGGCACACCCAAACGUUGGCUGUAACAGAAACAUGAUAACAUUCGUUAGUGUCUCUUGGGAGAAUGUUCGACGAACUCCAGCAGGUGGAUUGAUCACGUGAUGAAUAGCUCCUAUGCAGACGACGGCCAGUUGGAAAACGAGUUCGCACUCUUAUGUCUGGAGAUUGUGACCGUCUCCCCUGCCAGGGCCUGUGUGAAAGUGACAUUUUAAAGCAACCUGGAACAAAUAUCUUGAACCGGAAGUGAAAGAUACUUCAAUAGAACUGAGCACUCCAUGUCUGCGCUUCAAUCGUCUCGAUUUGAAGAUCUUGCUCAAACACUCUGGAGCUCCUAGAGUCAACACAAGUCAGGCAAACACUCUCCAAUACCGGUGAAAGUUCUACCAGGAAAGAUAGCACAUCAGCUUCACUUUGAACUUGCAAGAUUUCAGUAUCAUCUGGCUUUAGGAAGGGAUCAGACUUCAACCCUUGCGUCUUCGUCGAUUCAGUCGAGGUGAUGGACUCUUUUUCUGGAACGUAACAUCAACAUCUCCUUCCGAUAUAGCGUGAUACGACACUCAGGAAGAGCGGAUUCAUUUGACGUCUUAUACCAUUUCAAGCAUGAUGAAACAUAUCGAAAGAAGUUCUUCUUAUUUUUUUUAUCCGCCAAUUCCUUGGAAUUAUUCAACUAUGUACUGGACUUUUGAUAUAUAUAUUUAACGUACAUCUAUGCCAAUGUUUUGACAAUGAAUUUCUCGAAUGAAUUUGUUUCCGAGUUUCAUUUAAAAGCUCUAAAACGUAAGACGAGACAUAAUGAAAUGUUAUACUGUAAAGUUGUUUAGAAACUGUUAUCAUUGUGUCCACCUUUUAAUCAACAUAGAUUUUAUUUUAGAAUGUGUAACAUCGACAAUGUGACUCUAGGUGUAUAAUUGCCCAAGCCGACUUAUCGAAACUUAAAUGUCGUAAUGUCAAGUUAGUAUAAGAUCCAGAAGAUCGGCAUGAUGGCAACUACGGUUCCAUGACAUUAACUCCGGCGACAAAUGCUCCGCUGUAAAUUACACACAUUGUUAGAAUAACCAACUUCAACUCUGGAGUUAACACCAUACCCUAUCCUAAACCUAACCGUAAACCUAACAUAAAACCCUAUGGCAACCCUCACCUUAAUUAUCUUAAACGAAAUAAAACCCGGAACAAAUGUCGUGUCACCGCAACUACAGGUGUACCUGGUGAAUGUAACUUUAAGACGUUGACCUGGCAAGGUACACUUUAAAAGACUGCGGUGUUAAAACUGACACCAAUUGGUGUUAAUAGAGGACCACACCCUGAGGUGUUAAAAUGUCACCCUAGAGAUUGUACAUAAUACCAAAGAGUAACAACAAAAGGUUUUGUAAUAACACCUAUAGAUGUAAAACUAACACCACCAAUUUAACACCGGUGUAAAAUAACUGGUGUGGUCCUCUAUGUACACCGGUUAACACCACAGUUUUUGCUGUGUACCUUAUGUCACAAUAUCGACUAACUGUCGAAUAAUAAGUCGACAUAACACGGAUAUCAACUCGACAAGUUGACAACACAUACUAUCUUGUAAUGUCGUCAACUACACUGUAAAAACUGUGAUGUAAAAACUGACACCAAUUGGUGUUAAUAGAGCACCACACCCU